rnacentral:rRNA from 1 species
UACGUAGGGGGCAAGCGUUGUCCGGAAUUAUUGGGCGUAAAGCGCGUGCAGGCGGCUUUGUAAGUCUGGUGUUUAAUCUCGGGGCUCAACCCCGAUUCGCAUUGGAAACUGCAAGGCUUGAGUGCAGAAGAGGAAAGUGGAAUUCCACGUGUAGCGGUGAAAUGCGUAGAGAUGUGGAGGAACACCAGUGGCGAAGGCGACUUUCUGGGCUGUAACUGACGCUGAGGCGCGAAAGCGUGGGGAGCAAACAGG